CAACUACUCCCUCUGUCCCAAAUUUCUUGUCUUAGAUUUUUCUAGAUACAGAUGUAUCUAAUACUAAAAUGUGACUUGAUACAUCUGUAUCUAGAAAAAUAUAAGACAAGAAUUUUGGGAUGGAGGGAGUACUUU
rnacentral:pre_miRNA from 1 species